rnacentral:rRNA from 1 species
CCUACGGGUGGCAGCAGUGGGGAAUAUUGCACAAUGGGGGAAACCCUGAUGCAGCGACGCCGCGUGGGUGAAGAAGUAUUUCGGUAUGUAAAGCCCUAUCAGCAGGGAAGAAAAAUGACGGUACCUGACUAAGAAGCACCGGCUAAAUACGUGCCAGCAGCCGCGGUAAUACGUAUGGUGCAAGCGUUAUCCGGAUUUACUGGGUGUAAAGGGAGCGCAGGCGGCACGCUAAGCCUGAUGUGAAAACCCGCGGCCCAACCGCGGGAGUGCAUUGGGAACUGGCGAGCUGGAGUACCGGAGGGGCAGGCGGAAUUCCUAGUGUAGCGGUGAAAUGCGUAGAUAUUAGGAGGAACACCAGUGGCGAAGGCGGCCUGCUGGACGGAGACUGACGCUGAGGCUCGAAAGCGUGGGGAGCAAACAGGAUUAGAUACCCCAGUAGUC